CAUACCCUUUUUAGAUAAUCAGUUGAAGUCGCCUAGCCCUCUCUUACUGCCCGCCGUGGAUGCUGUUACACCACUUUCUGAAGCAGAGGCAAUAGAUUUGGUUAAAACUGUUUUUGCAUCAGCAACAGAGAGAGAUAUAUACACUGGUGACAGGCUUGAAAUUGUCGUUCUAAAUGCUGAUGGCACUCGGUAUGAGUACAUGGAACUGAGGAAAGAUUGAUGCCUACCCAGGACAAUGCUGCCGGUUUUGACCAGAGCUGAAAAUGUCAUCUAUUCCAGGUCUCUGUGUAGGUCAUAUCUCGAAAUGGCUUGUUUAUUCUGUUGCAAAGUUUCAGUUUGUACUCAACUUCCCCUAUUACGGUGAAACAUUUAAAGCAGUUAACAGUUGAGAACCAUUUCUGUACUGAUAUUUUCUUUGUGAACAAAGUAAGUUAUCCACCCCUGCACCAUUUCUUUUAUUCCC